GCCCAGGUGGUGAAAUGGUAGACACACCAUCUUGAGGGGGUGGCGCCGCAAGGCGUGCGGGUUCGAGUCCCGCCCUGGGCACCA
rnacentral:tRNA from 1 species